GGUAUGGUCAAAGUCCUGGCUUUGAAGCCCAGCACUGUAGAGACUUUUUUUUUUUCUUUUUCAGAUGAGGAGAGGCUGGAUGUGUAUUUUGGAUUUAAAGUAUCUCUUGAGGUCUAAUCCCAAGUGGCAGUCAAGACCCAAGUCAACCCCACAGGACCUCAUCCUGACAAAAAAGCAAGAAUCUAAGUCUUCUUGGUAUUGUUCUCAGGAGAUAUGUGCAGAUGUCAGUGGCUGCAAGGUGCUAUUAAAGGCUCUGGUGUUUCCAGGAGUGGCUAGAGGCUGUGCUGACGGUUGUGUAGCAUCAAGGAAUAGAGACACCAUGGCUGCCUCCAAGUUGCUUCUGGUUCUGCUUUCUAUGGCCCUGCUGGCCCUGACCUCAGCUCAGACGGCCAAAGAAGAUGAUGAAAAUUCUCUUCAAGGGCAACAAUCCCAUGAAGAUGGAGACUCCAGUGAAUCAGGUGAAUUAGGUG
rnacentral:lncRNA from 1 species